rnacentral:misc_RNA from 1 species
UCAGCCUGAAGUAGAAAUUCAAGUGCUACCCUACUAAAGAAUGAAAAUCGUUUGAAAUCAUCGUGCUCUCCAUAAAGUUGUCCUCUACAGAAGAAUUUACCAGGAUGCUGAGGUUCAAUAAAAUAAACUGGAAGGCCUUCAACAGUGCCCGUCCAGAUAUUAUUGUUGUAUAACCGACCAUCAAAAUAUGACUCAACCACCACAUCUAAGACCUUCAUGUCCUUGAUUGACUCAUACUGCAUACAAUCAUAUUUAGGAAGAACAAUUUCCACAAGGUGUCCUUUUUCCUGCAGAGCUUUGCCAAGACCUGCCACCACAUCCCCUAGACCACCUACCUUCGCAACAGGCGCCAUCUCGGCUGCAAUAUGGAUGAUAUGCAGUCCUGGACGUGUUGGUGAUGAAGUAAAUCUAAGAAAUGCCGCUAGAAUUUCACGAUCAUUCUUUUCCUUGCAUGACAUAUAUGCAUCACAAAUACGUCUAUCUCUCUUCCAGACCAGUUCUCUUAACAACUUUGCAUCAUCCUUUGAGAUUUUCUUUUCCAUAGACCAACCUUCAAUCAUCAGCAAUAACCGACUCCAAAAUUCAGAAGGCAUCUCGUCUACAGGUUCAUCGAGAGCUUUUUUUUUAGUUUCAUUUUUCAAAUUAUCAAGUGUAUCUUGAAACUCCUUGACAGAAUCCUGAUGCAGCUGAACAUAAGAUUGUAUCUCUUCAUCAGACCUCUGAAGGCGUUCAUCAAGAAGUUUUAUCUUUUGCUGCAUUUGUUCAUUAUACUGCUGUAAUUUUUCAGAUGAAAGUUUAUAGAUGCUAGCCUCUUCAAGAGAUUCUUCAAGCCUGUCGACCUUUUUCCGCAGCUCUUGGUUUUGCUGUAGCACUGAUAUUGCUUGAUCUGCUUGUUUGGUUGCCUUAGCUAGCAAUGCUUGUAAGUGUUCCACCUUUUCAUAUAAAUUUUUGCACUCCAAUUUCAAGGCAGAGAGCUCCGAAACACCUUCCUGAGAUGCAGCCAGUUUAGAUUCCAACUCACUUAAAGAAGAUUCAAGAACUGAUCGUUCUUUCUCUAGCAUUAAAAUGCGUUCAUCUGUUUCCUUGACUAAGCUAAGCUCUGACUUCAUCGAUUGAAGAUCUUGCUUCAAUAACAUAUUUUCUUUCCUUAACGAAUCACAUUGCUCACUCAGUGAAUUUACAAGAUCACUACGUGAAAGAGGAACUGAAUUAUUCACAUGAAGCACAUUUUCCUCACUGCCUCUGCUGCUAGACAACUCAUUUUUUAGCUUUCCCAACUGGUCUUCUAGAAGUUCCACGUGUAUUUUUUCUUGGGAAGCAACUCUGAGCCGUGCAUCAGUUUCUGCUAGCUUCAUUUCUAAGAUAUUGAUCUUCCCAUGCAAAUCCUCUUUCUCUCCAAGAACUUUUUGAAGUUCUUCUAACGCAUGGACCCGAGCUUCAUUGAGUAGAUGAAUAUUCUUUUCCGCAUUUCUUAUCAUGCCAAUCAAAUCCUUAAGAUGAACACUUGAAGGUUGUCCCUCCUCAUUUGAGUCGACAGACGAAUAAGUACUCUCAUCUGAACUUUUGGUUUCCGUCGAAGUGUCAACAUUUUCUUCGAUGGGAACUUCCUGAUUUGAAUUUGAUAGGCUUUGUUUGGACAUCUUUUCAGUAUCAGAAUCUAUAUCAUCACUUAACUGUAGAUCAACAUCUGGUGGGCGUUCGAUAUUUAUUGUCUUGGUUUGUUUUUUCUUAUUCUGCAAACUAAAAUUGCGGCGCUGGCGCAUUUUGCCGGAAGCUGGAGGCAAGCGUUGAGAAGGUAGUGGAUAGAAUCGAACAUUUACUUGUCUAG